GCGGCCUAUCAGCUUGUUGGUGAGGUAAUGGCUCACCAAGGCGACGACGAGUAGCCGGCCUGAGAGGGCGACCGGCCACACUGGGACUGAGACACGGCCCAGACUCCUACGGGAGGCAGCAGUGGGGAAUAUUGGGCAAUGGAGGAAACUCUGACCCAGCGACGCCGCGUGCGGGAUGAAGGCCUUCGGGUUGUAAACCGCUUUCAGUAGGGAAGAAGCGAAAGUGACGGUACCUACAGAAGAAGCACCAGCUAACUAUGUGCCAGCAGCCGCGGUAAUACAUAGGGUGCAAGCGUUGUCCGGAAUUAUUGGGCGUAAAGAGCUCGUAGGUGGUUCGUUACGUCGGAUGUGAAAAUCUGGGGCUCAACCCCAGACCUGCAUCCGAUACGGUCGAGCUAGAGUUUGGUAGGGGAGACUGGAAUUCCU
rnacentral:rRNA from 1 species